NUAUGCGUAAUUUAAAAAAAAUAUCAUACUGUGACUAUGACAAUAGGAACACAUCCUCACAUACC
rnacentral:tRNA from 1 species